GACGAACGCUGGCGGCGUGCUUAACACAUGCAAGUCGAACGCUGAAGCUUGGUGCUUGCACUGGGUGGAUGAGUGGCGAACGGGUGAGUAAUAAGUGAGUAACCUGCCCUUGACUCUGGGAUAAGCCUGGGAAACUGGGUCUAAUACUGGAUACGACAUGUCACCGCAUGGUGGUGUGUGGAAAGGGUUUUACUGGUUUUGGAUGGGCUCACGGCCUAUCAGCUUGUUGGUGGGGUAAUGGCUCACCAAGGCGACGACGGGUAGCCGGCCUGAGAGGGUGACCGGCCACACUGGGACUGAGACACGGCCCAGACUCCUACGGGAGGCAGCAGUGGGGAAUAUUGCACAAUGGGCGGAAGCCUGAUGCAGCGAAGCAGCGUGAGGGAUGACGGCCUUCGGGUUGUAAACCUCUUUCAGCACGGAAGAAGCGAAAGUGACGGUACGUGCAGAAGAAGCGCCGGCUAACUACGUG
rnacentral:rRNA from 1 species